rnacentral:rRNA from 1 species
GAUGAACGCUAGCGGCAGGCCUAAGACAUGCAAGUCGAGGGGUAGAACACUUCGGUGUUUGCGACCGGCGCACGGGUGCGUAACGCGUAUGCAAUCUACCAUGUACAGGGGAAUAGCCCAGAGAAAUUUGGAUUAAUGCCCCAUAGUAUAUAACCUUCGCAUGUUGGUUAUAUUAACGUUCCAGCGGUACAAGCUGAGCAUGCUUACCAUUAGUUAGUUGGUAAGGUAACAGCUCACCAAGACGAUGAUGGGUAGGGGUCAUGAGAGGGAGAUCCCCCACACUGGUACUGAGACACGGACCAGACUCCGACGGGAGGCAGCAGUGAGGAAUAUUGGUCAAUGGUCGCAAGUCUGAACCAGCCAUGCCGCGUGCAGGAAGACGGUCCUAUGGAUUGUAAACUGCUUUUAUACAGGAAGAAACCCUCCCACGUGUGGGAGCUUGACGGUACUGUAGGAAUAAGGAUCGGCUAACUCCGUGCCAGCCGCCGCAGUAAAAC